rnacentral:rRNA from 1 species
GAUGAACGCUAGCGAUAGGCCUAACACAUGCAAGUCGAGGGGCAUCACAUGAAGUAGCAAUACGGAUGGUGGCGACCGGCGCACGGGUGAGUAACACGUAUGCAACCUGCCUUCAACAAGGGGAUAACCCGUUGAAAGACGGACUAAUACCCUAUAACACAGGGGUCCCGCAUGGGAAUAUUUGUUAAAGGACAACCGGUUGAAGAUGGGCAUGCGUUCCAUUAGCUAGUUGGCGGGGUAACGGCCCACCAAGGCAACGAUGAAUAGGGGAACUGAGAGGUUUAUCCCCCACACUGGUACUGAGACACGGACCAGACUCCUACGGGAGGCAGCAGUGAGGAAUAUUGGUCAAUGGACGCAAGUCUGAACCAGCCACGUCGCGUGAAGGAAGACGGCCCUACGGGUUGUAAACUUCUUUUAUACGGGAAUAAAGUGCCCCACGCGUGGGGUUUUGCAUGUACCGUAUGAAUAAGGAUCGGCUAACCCGUGCCAGCAGCCGCGGUAAA